rnacentral:rRNA from 1 species
AUUCCAGCUCCAAUAGCGUAUAUUAAAGUUGUUGCGGUAAAAAAGCUCGUAGUUGGAUCUCUGUUGAGGACGACCGGUCCGUACCAUGUACGCGCAUCUGGUUCGGCCUCGGCAUCCUCUCGAUAGACGUUUCUGCGCUUGAUUGCGUGGAGCGGAUUUCGGGACUUUUACUUUGAGGAAAUUAGAGUGUUCACGGCAGGCUAUCGCCAGAAUACAUUAGCAUGGAAUAAUACUAUAGGAUCUCGGUUCUAUUUUGUUGGUUUCUAGACCCGGGGUAAUGAUUAAUAGGGACAAUUGGGGGCAUUUGUAUCAACACGUCAGAGGUGGAAUUCUUGGAUUGUGUUGCGACAAACUACUGCGAAAGCAUUUGCCAAGGAUGUUUUCAUUA